UGUUAUUCUAUAGUCUUUGUUUUUAGUUGUUCAUAGUACUUAAAUAAUAAUAAAAAUGCAAACUGACACUCCAAUGAGUACGACCAAAGUUAUACAUAUAUAUUUAUAUAAAAAAUGAUCAAGAAACGUAACCGUGGAUCAUUUUCUAUUACAUGUCAGGUCAGACCAUCUCACUACAUUCUAAUGAUACAGGCAUAACGAGGAUUUAACCCUUAAGACGCUUCAAUGGAAAACAGCUCUAGAUAAACCACCUACAGACCAGAGCCAAAAGUCUAAAGCAAAUCCUGAGACCAUGAGAAAGCUGAAGAACACGCCUGUAGGUCAUACAUGCUCCCAGAAGACCAGAAAAAUGGCCAAAAGAGGGAGUAGACAACACAAAACAUUGUCUGUAUCCGCAGCCAGAUCCAACCAAUCUAAAACGAUGCCACCAAAGACAUCCAUGAACCAGCCCCAGGAGAGUCUGAGAUGGGUGGGAGUGCUGGCCAACCCUGUAGAGGAACAAGAGAGGAUUGAGAUUUAUAAAGCCAACCGAAGGAAGCGCUAUUUGGCCUCUCAAGAGCUUGGCCUACAUUGACAGCCAGUAAAGUAUUAAAGUUCUUGUAUUAUUUAAACUUCAAAAA